rnacentral:rRNA from 1 species
GAUGAACGCUGGCGGCGUGCCUAAUACAUGCAAGUCGAGCGAACGGACGAGAAGCUUGCUUCUCUGAUGUUAGCGGCGGACGGGUGAGUAACACGUGGAUAACCUACCUAUAAGACUGGGAUAACUUCGGGAAACCGGAGCUAAUACCGGAUAAUAUUUUGAACCGCAUGGUUCAAAAGUGAAAGACGGUCUUGCUGUCACUUAUAGAUGGAUCCGCGCUGCAUUAGCUAGUUGGUAAGGUAACGGCUUACCAAGGCAACGAUGCAUAGCCGACCUGAGAGGGUGAUCGGCCACACUGGAACUGAGACACGGUCCAGACUCCUACGGGAGGCAGCAGUAGGGAAUCUUCCGCAAUGGGCGAAAGCCUGACGGAGCAACGCCGCGUGAGUGAUGAAGGUCUUCGGAUCGUAAAACUCUGUUAUUAGGGAAGAACAUAUGUGUAAGUAACUGUGCACAUCUUGACGGUACCUAAUCAGAAAGCCACGGCUAACUACGUGCCAGCAGCCGCGGUAAUACGUAGGUGGCAAGCGUUAUCCGGAAUUAUUGGGCGUAAAGCGCGCGUAGGCGGUUUUUUAAGUCUGAUGUGAAAACCCACGGCUCAACCGUGGAGGGUCAUUGGAAACUGGAAAACUUGAGUGCAGAAGAGGAAAGUGGAAUUCCAUGUGUAGCGGUGAAAUGCGCAGAGAUAUGGAGGAACACCAGUGGCGAAGGCGACUUUCUGGUCUGUAACUGACGCUGAUGUGCGAAAGCGUGGGGAUCAAACAGGAUUAGAUACCCUGGUAGUCCACGCCGUAAACGAUGAGUGCUAAGUGUUAGGGGGUUUCCGCCCCUUAGUGCUGCAGCUAACGCAUUAAGCACUCCGCCUGGGGAGUACGACCGCAAGGUUGAAACUCAAAGGAAUUGACGGGGACCCGCACAAGCGGUGGAGCAUGUGGUUUAAUUCGAAGCAACGCGAAGAACCUUACCAAAUCUUGACAUCCUUUGACAACUCUAGAGAUAGAGCUUUCCCCUUCGGGGGACAAAGUGACAGGUGGUGCAUGGUUGUCGUCAGCUCGUGUCGUGAGAUGUUGGGUUAAGUCCCGCAACGAGCUCAACCCUUAAGCUUAGUUGCCAUCAUUAAGUUGGGCACUCUAAGUUGACUGCCGGUGACAAACCGGAGGAAGGUGGGGAUGACGUCAAAUCAUCAUGCCCCUUAUGAUUUGGGCUACACACGUGCUACAAUGGACAAUACAAAGGGCAGCGAAACCGCGAGGUCAAGCAAAUCCCAUAAAGUUGUUCUCAGUUCGGAUUGUAGUCUGCAACUCGACUACAUGAAGCUGGAAUCGCUAGUAAUCGUAGAUCAGCAUGCUACGGUGAAUACGUUCCCGGGUCU